rnacentral:hammerhead_ribozyme from 1 species
AUCCAGCUGACGAGUCCCAAAUAGGACGAAACGAGCGUCAGACUGGU